GGGACCGAAAUAAAGUAGGGAAGCAUGUGAGCCAUGUGCCAAGAAAAGCCGCUAUAGAUCAUACCGUACCCGUACCGUAAACCGACACAGGUAGAUGAGGAGAGAAUCCUAAGGCCGACGGGAGAAGCAUUGUUAAGGAACUCGGCAAAAUGACCCCGUAGCUUCGGGAGAAGGGGUGCCCACGCGAGUGGGCCGCAGAGAAUAGGCUCAAGCAACUGUUUAGCAAAAACACAGGUCUAUGCGAAACCGAAAGGUGAGGUAUAUGGGCUGACGCCUGCCCGGUGCUGAAGGUUAAGAGGAGGAGUCAGGCAACGAAGCUCCGAAUUUAAGCCCCAGUAAACGGCGGCCGUAACUAUAACGGUCCUAAGGUAGCGAAAUUCCUUGUCGGGUAAGUUCCGACCCGCACGAAAGGCGUAAUGAUCUGAGCACUGUCUCGACAAUGCACCCGGUGAAAUUGAAGUACCAGUGAAGAUGCUGGUUACCUGCGCCAGGACGGAAAGACCCCAUGGAGCUUUACUCCAGUUUGAUACUGGGAUUCGAUACUGAAUGUACAGGAUAGGUGGGAGGCUGAGAAGCGUGGACGCCAGUCUGCGGUGAGCCGCUGUUGGGAUACCACCCUUUGAGUAUUGGAUUUCUAACCUGCGCCCGUGACCCGGGCGGGGGACAAUGUCUGACGGGGAGUUUGACUGGGGCGGUCGCCUCCGAAAGGGUAUCGGAGGCGCUCAAAGGUUCCCUCAGAAUGGUUGGAAACCAUUCGCAGAGUGCAAAGGCAGAAGGGAGCUUGACUGUGACACCGACGGGUGGAGCAGGUACGAAAGUAGGACUUAGUGAUCCGGUGGUAUGAAAGUGGGAUUGCCAUCGCUCAACGGAUAAAAGCUACCCUGGGAUAACAGGCUUAUCACUCCCAAGAGUUCACAUCGACGGAGUGGUUUGGCACCUCGAUGUCGGCUCAUCGCAUCCUGGGGCUGUAGCAGGUCCCAAGGGUUGGGCUGUUCGCCCAUUAAAGCGGUACGCGAGCUGGGUUCAGAACGUCGUGAGACAGUUCGGUCCCUAUCCGGCGCAGGCGUAGGAUAUUUGAGAGGAGCUGUCCUUAGUACGAGAGGACCGGGAUGGACAGACCGCUGGUGUAUCUGUUGGUGACCAACACCAUGGCAGAGUAGCCAAGUCUGGCAGGGAUAAACGCUGAAGGCAUCUAAGCGUGAAGCCCCCCUCAAGAUGAGAUAUCCCAAUAAGUAAGACCCCUUAGAGAGUAUGAGGUAGAUAGGCUUAAGGUGUAAGCAUAGUAAUAUGUUCAGCUGAUAAGUACUAAUAGGUCGAGGGCUUACC
rnacentral:rRNA from 1 species